AGCGAACGCUGGCGGCAGGCUUAACACAUGCAAGUCGAGCGGGCAUCCUUGUGGUGUCAGCGGCAGACGGGUGAGUAACGCGUGGGAACGUGCCCUUCGGUUCGGAAUAACUCAGGGAAACUUGAGCUAAUACCGGAUACGUGCGAGAGCAGAAAGGUUUAUCUGCCGAAGGAUCGGCCCGCGUCUGAUUAGCUAGUUGGUGAGGUUACGGCUCACCAAGGCGACGAUCAGUAGCUGGUCUGAGAGGAUGAUCAGCCACACUGGGACUGAGACACGGCCCAGACUCCUACGGGAGGCAGCAGUGGGGAAUAUUGGACUAUGGGGGCAACCCUGAUCCAGCCAUGCCGCGUGAGUGAUGACGGCCUUAGGGUUGUAAAGCUCUUUUCUCCGGGACGAUAAUGACGGUACCGGAGGAAUAAGCCCCGGCUAACUUCGUG
rnacentral:rRNA from 1 species